rnacentral:tRNA from 1 species
GCCGAAGUGGUGGAAUUGGCAGACACGCGUGGUUAAGGGCCACGUGGAGCAAUCCGUGGGGGUUCGAGUCCCCCCUUCGGCA